ACACCAGAAGUUGGUUUUACCCGAAGCCGAUGAGCUAACAGCAAUGAGGCAAUCGUCUACGGUAGGCCCGAUGAUUGGGGUGAAGUCGUAACAAGGUACC
rnacentral:rRNA from 1 species